GAUGAACGCUGGCGGCGUGCCUAAUACAUGCAAGUCGAGCGAACGGACGAGAAGCUUGCUUCUCUGAUGUUAGCGGCGGACGGGUGAGUAACACGUGGAUAACCUACCUAUAAGACUGGGAUAACUUCGGGAAACCGGAGCUAAUACCGGAUGAUAUUUUGAACCGCAUGGUUCAAAAGUGAAAGACGGUCUUGCUGUCACUUAUAGAUGGAUCCGCGCUGCAUUAGCUAGUUGGUAAGGUAACGGCUUACCAAGGCAACGAUGCAUAGCCGACCUGAGAGGGUGAUCGGCCACACUGGAACUGAGACACGGUCCAGACUCCUACGGGAGGCAGCAGUAGGGAAUCUUCAGCAAAGGGCGAAAGCCUGACGGAGCAACGCCGCGUGAGUGAUGAAGGUCUUCGGAUCGUAAAACUCUGUUAUUAGGGAAGAACAUAUGUGUAAGUAACUGUGCACAUCUUGACGGUACCUAAUCAGAAAGCCACGGCUAACUACGUG
rnacentral:rRNA from 1 species